GGAAAACCCGUCAACAAAUUAACUUCAAAGAACCAAAUAAGAUAAGAAUCCAAAAAAUGCAAUAUGUUUAAAUCAAUUUUUAGCAAGAGGAACUAAAAUUGAAUCAAACACAAGAAAGAUCACAGAAAGACCAAGGUACUCUAAUGGGAUUUUCUUUAAUUGGUUGAGCGAUUUAUCUAGUUAAUUAUGUUAACGAACGAGACCUCAGCCUUCUAACUAGCUAUGUAGAGGUACCCCUCCGCGACUAGCUUUUUAGAGGGACUAUGACCUUUUAGGCAGCGAAAGUUUGAGGCAAUAACAGGUCAAUGAUGCCCUUAGAUGUUCUGGGUUGUACUCAUGCUACACUGAUGUAUUCAACGAGUUUAGAACCUUGGCUGAAAGGUCUGGGUAAUCUUUAAAAUUUUAUCGUGAUGGGGAUAGAUCAUUAUAAUUGUUGGUCUUCAACGAGGAAUUCCUAGCAAGCGCAAGUUAUCAGAUUAUGUUGACUACGUCCUUGCCCUUUGUACACACCGUCCGUUGCUCCUACUAAUUGAAUAGUCCGGUGAAGUGUUCAGAUCUCGACGACAUGGAUGGUCUGCUACCUGCGACGUCGCGAGAAGUCCACUGAAACUUAUCAUUUAGAUAAAGGAGAAGUUGUAACAAGGUUUUCGUAAGUGAACCUGCAGAAG
rnacentral:rRNA from 1 species